GACGAACGCUGGCGGCGUGCUUAACACAUGCAAGUCGAACGGAAAGGCCCCUUUGGGGGUACUCGAGUGGCGAACGGGUGAGUAACACGUGAGUAACCUGCCCUUGACUUCGGGAUAACUUCAGGAAACUGGGGCUAAUACCGGAUAGGAAUCCUUGCUGCAUGGUGGGGGUUGGAAAGCUUCGGCGGUUUUGGAUGGACUCGCGGCUUAUCAGCUUGUUGGUGGGGUAGUGGCUUACCAAGGCUUUGACGGGUAGCCGGCCUGAGAGGGCGAGCGGCCACAUUGGGACUGAGAUACGGCCCAGACUCCUACGGGAGGCAGCAGUGGGGAAUAUUGCACAAGGGGCGGAAGCCGGAUGCAGCAACGCCGCGUGCGGGAGGACGGCCUUCGGGUUGUAAACCGCUUUCAGCAGGGGCGAAGCUUGUGGUGACGGUACCUGCAGAAGAAGCACCGGCUAACUACGUG
rnacentral:rRNA from 1 species